rnacentral:rRNA from 1 species
CCUACGGGAGACUGCAGUAGGGAAUCUUCCACAAUGGGCGAAAGCCUGAUGGAGCAACGCCGCGUGGGUGAAGAAGGUCUUCGGAUCGUAAAACCCUGUUGUUAGAGAAGAAAGUGCGUGAGAGUAACUGUUCACGUUUCGACGGUAUCUAACCAGAAAGCCACGGCUAACUACGUGCCAGCAGCCGCGGUAAUACGUAGGUGGCAAGCGUUAUCCGGAUUGAUUGGGCGUAAAGGGAACGCAGGCGGUCUUGUAAGUCUGAUGUGAAAGCCUUCGGCUUAACCGGAGUAGUGCAUUGGAAACUGGGAGACUUGAGUGCAGAAGAGGAGAGUGGAACUCCAUGUGUAGCGGUGAAAUGCGUAGAUAUAUGGAAGAACACCAGUGGCGAAAGCGGCUCUCUGGUCUGUAACUGACGCUGAGGUUCGAAAGCGUGGGUAGCAAACAGGAUUAGAUACCCUGGUAGUC